AAAAAGGAUAUCAGGUCAAAGAUUUUGUUUAAUACAAGCUAAAACCAUCCUAAGGAUUGAAUAAGAGACAAAUUUGAAUUUCUGAAUUUUAAUUUUAUAUUUGUAUUAAUAAAAAGAAUUAGUGGAUGAUUUUUUUGAGUAUUAGUUGAUACCAAUUAUGAAAUUUUUGUUGUUUUUGAUAUACAUUGGUGGAGCUGCACUUUUAAGUUUACUAUUUGGAGUUUCCUUCAACACUAAUGUUACUAUUUGGAGAUGUUGAUGUGGAUGACAUGGAUUAAAAUCAAAGAUGUUGCCAUUGUAUGAGGCCUGCCAGAAAGAAGACAAUCCCCCAUAUCAGUGUGC
rnacentral:lncRNA from 1 species